GACGAACGCUGGCGGCGUGCCUAAUACAUGCAAGUUGAGCGCUGAAGGUUGGUACUUGUACCAACUGGAUGAGCAGCGAACGGGUGAGUAACGCGUGGGGAAUCUGCCUUUGAGCGGGGGACAACAUUUGGAAACGAAUGCUAAUACCGCAUAAAAACUUUAAACACAAGUUUUAAGUUUGAAAGAUGCAAUUGCAUCACUCAAAGAUGAUCCCGCGUUGUAUUAGCUAGUUGGUGAGGUAAAGGCUCACCAAGGCGAUGAUACAUAGCCGACCUGAGAGGGUGAUCAGCCGCAGUGGGACUGAGACAGGGCACAAAGGGCUACGGGAGGCAGCAGGAGGGAAUCGUCGGGAAGGGACGAAAGUCUGACCGAGCAACGCCGCGGGAGGGAAGAAGGUUGUCGGAUCGGAAAACUCUGUUGGUAGAGAAGAACGUUGGUGAGAGUGGAAAGCUCAGCAAGUGACGGUAACUACCCAGAAAGGGACGGCUAACUACGUG
rnacentral:rRNA from 1 species